rnacentral:sRNA from 1 species
ACAACCGCUUUUUAAAAGUCUGUUUCUGUUUUUGUAAGUAUUAGGCAAAUACCUGCGUGAAAUUCCAUAAGGCCAGGGCUCAGGACCUCCCAUUAACUGUCGCGCCCCAAGACCCGGGUAGUGGGCCCGGGCCCCAGGGACAUCUUCCCCACCCCCAGGCUCUGUGGGGGCGCGGGCAAGGUGCAGGGUGGGGGGUCUGUCGAGCCUGCCUCGUCCCCCAGGCUGGUUCCCCGGCGAGUCGGGCCCUGCCGUGGCCCCUGAGGAGGGGGCGGCGAUCGCGCGAUGCGGCUGCGACCACGACUGCGGCGCCCAGGGGAACCCGGUGUGCGGCUCCGACGGGGUGGUCUACGCCAGCGCCUGCCGCCUGCGGGAGGCCGCCUGCCGCCAGGCCGCGCCCCUGGAGCCCGCGCCUCCCAGCUGCUGCGCCCUCGCGGCUGCCGGCCUCGGCGUCCUCCACCUACGGGGAUGACCUGGCUUCUGUGGCCCCGGGGCCUUUACAGCAGGACGUGAAGCUGAAUGGAGCCGGCCUUGAGGUGGUGGACUCAGACCCUGAGCCU